rnacentral:rRNA from 1 species
CCUACGGGAGGCAGCAGUGGGGAAUUUUGGACAAUGGGCGCAAGCCUGAUCCAGCAAUGCCGCGUGAGUGAAGAAGGCCUUCGGGUUGUAAAGCUCUUUUGUCAGGGAAGAAACGGUGGGGGCUAAUAUCCUCCACUAAUGACGGUACCUGAAGAAUAAGCACCGGCUAACUACGUGCCAGCAGCCGCGGUAAUACGUAGGGUGCAAGCGUUAAUCGGAAUUACUGGGCGUAAAGCGUGCGCAGGCGGUUUUGUAAGUCUGUCGUGAAAGCCCCGGGCUCAACCUGGGAAUUGCGAUGGAGACUGCAAGGCUUGAAUCUGGCAGAGGGGGGUAGAAUUCCACGUGUAGCAGUGAAAUGCGUAGAGAUGUGGAGGAACACCGAUGGCGAAGGCAGCCCCCUGGGUCAAGAUUGACGCUCAUGCACGAAAGCGUGGGGAGCAAACAGGAUUAGAUACCCUGGUAGUCCACGCCCUAAACGAUGUCUACUAGUUGUCGGGUUUUAAUUAACUUGGUAACGCAGCUAACGCGUGAAGUGACCGCCUGGGGAGUACGGUCGCAAGNUUAAACUUAAAUGAAUUGACGGNNGNGNGNGCGAGNGACGAGAGGAGAG